UCCAACCUUUUCCGGGCGAUUUGGGCCCGACGUCGCAUGCUCCCGGCCGCCAUGGCGGCCGCGGGAAUUCGAUUUCCGGUUGAUCCUGCCAGAGGCCACUGCUAUGGGGGUCCGACUAAGCCAUGCGAGUCAUGGGGCGCGCUCUGCGCGCACCGGCGGACGGCUCAGUAACACGUCGGUAACCUACCCUCGGGAGGGGGAUAACCCCGGGAAACUGGGGCUAAUCCCCCAUAGGCCUGAGGUACUGGAAGGUCCUCAGGCCGAAAGGGGCAUCUGCCCGCCCGAGGAUGGGCCGGCGGCCGAUUAGGUAGUUGGUGGGGUAACGGCCCACCAAGCCGAAGAUCGGUACGGGCCAUGAGAGUGGGAGCCCGGAGAUGGACACUGAGACACGGGUCCAGGCCCUACGGGGCGCAGCAGGCGCGAAACCUCCGCAAUGCGGGCAACCGCGACGGGGGGACCCCCAGUGCCGUGGCAUCGCCACGGCUUUUCCGGAGUGUAAAAAGCUCCGGGAAUAAGGGCUGGGCAAGGCCGGUGGCAGCCGCCGCGGUAAUACCGGCGGCCCGAGUGGUGGCCGCUAUUAUUGGGCCUAAAGCGUCCGUAGCCGGGCCCGUAAGUCCCUGGCGAAAUCCCACGGCUCAACCGUGGGGCUUGCUGGGGAUACUGCGGGCCUUGGGACCGGGAGAGGCCGGGGGUACCCCUGGGGUAGGGGUGAAAUCCUAUAAUCCCAGGGGGACCGCCAGUGGCGAAGGCGCCCGGCUGGAACGGGUCCGACGGUGAGGGACGAAGGCCAGGGGAGCGAACCGGAUUAGAUACCCGGGUAGUCCUGGCUGUAAAGGAUGCGGGCUAGGUGUCGGGCGAGCUUCCAGCUCGUCCGGUGCCGAAGGGAAGCCGUUUAAGCCCCGC
rnacentral:rRNA from 1 species